CCAAAAUAAAAAUAAAACAAAAUUCUGAAAGUAAUGCCAAGGACUCUGUAUCAACUAAAAAAAACACUACUGAACUUUUACUAGAUUUCUCAAUUCAAAAGUGGUAAAAAAAAUUAAAAAAAUUCAACUGUGGUAAAAAAAAAUAUAAAAAAAUUCAACUGUCCAACAAAUAAAAAAAACAUAAAAUAAAAUAAGGCGACUGUGGUGAGAAGAAUCACCGAGGUACCUCAAAUAUCUCUCAGAGGGUCUUCACUUCCUUUCACCGCCGCCAAUUCAACUCUCUCUCUCUAUAGAUAACAUAAUUAGAAUCUCUUCAGAAAGCAAAGGCUCCGUGUCUUCACUGUUUCAUCCACAGAGAAAUUUCCCAAACAGAGAUGGCCGGUGAGGACAAAAAUUUGAUCGAAAUCCUAGAGGAGAACAACCUUAUCGACAUCGUCAAGUACAUUAACUACGUCCACGCUCCACAAUCUGGCGCCAUAGCUACUUUCUCCGGCACAACCCGUGACACCUUCCAAGGCAAAACAGUCUUGGAGCUAAGGUACGAAGCCUAUGUUCCAAUGGCCAUUCGCUGCAUCAAAUCCAUUUGUUCAUCGGCUCGCUCGUCAUGGAAUCUCAGCUCCAUUGCAGUUGCCCACCGCCUCGGCAUCGUCCCCGUCGGCGAAACCAGUGUCUUUAUCGCCAUAUCGGCCGUUCAUCGGGCCGAUGCACUCGACGCUUGUAAAUUCGUGAUUGAUGAGAUCAAGGCUUCGGUGCCGAUAUGGAAGAAGGAGGUUUAUGAUAAUGGCGAGGUGUGGAAGGAGAAUUCGGAGUUUUUUGGUCGGAGAGAGAGUGGAGCUGAAAAGGGUUGCUGUGGGAUUAAGGUGAAAGUGGAUGAUCAAGUGGGUGAUUGACUCCGGGAACCACUGAAUUAGGGUUUUGGAGAACAAUGCUGAAAAUAUGGUGGGGUCUUCAACAUGUUAAUCAGGCUUCAAGCAUAGUGGCUUAUUGGACUUGAAGGCACAAGUUCAUAUGUGUAUUUCAAAGUGUGGAGUACUUUAUGCAGCUCAGUUUUUCAUGUUGCAGUAGGCAGUGAAUUCAAGUGAUAAGACUUCAUGAUGAACUUAAGGAUUUGAUAUCUCCAUAAUCGAAUGCUUGAAUACUUCUCAGAAGUGAAAUAAAGGAGAGCUUUUGGGACAUUAGAAUCUAAGGAGAAAAUGGUGCAGUGAAUGAAAUAGAAGAUGGCUCCAUAUCAGGUUGUGCUAUAGAGCAAUUUUGUUGGUUAACAUGGAGCGGGUCUGAAGUUUCUCUCUUGUAUUUAUAACCUUGGCUUCAGAUAUUGUGAUUGUGAUUCUCAAUAUAGCUAUAUGGAUCUGAAGUUUCUCUCUUGUAGUUGUAGCCUUGGUUUCAGUUAAAGCGAUUGUGGAUUUUCAAUAUAACCAUAAAA